rnacentral:lncRNA from 1 species
CACACCUGCUAUUUAAUAAGAAAAUAAGUGAGAGCCUCCACGCCAAGAUUAACUAAGAUAUGCUAAAUUGAUUAUUGACCUUUCUGGGAGAGCCCUGUGCAGGAUAGACAUGUGGGGGAGUGCUCACGGGGCCAUGGGACAUUUAGUAGGGAAUUGUAUACACACAAUCAAAGAAAGGUUUGGCUUGGAAUGAACCCUCAAAGUCCAUCUGGUUCCAAUCCCUGCCACCCUGAGCUUCACCAUUUUGGGGAGCAGAGGGUGACGGGCUGAAGCUGUGUGGGCUGGUGAAGACAUCACAGCCCAGUUGAUGCCAUACUGGUUGUCCAUAUGGUUGGGCUCUGGACCUGCUGUGGGAGGGUCCCCAUGCUGCUGGGUGGUCUGUGGGGGAAAGUUCCUUGCUGUUGAGUUACUCUGAAAAGAAGAAUUGGGGCUCUAGGACAUGGUUUUGUACCUGCUUUGCUUCUCAUGGACCCAACAGCCCACUUGAACUGCAUGGUGACGUUCUUUUUCUCUGCUUGCACAUCUAAGCAAAGAGCCUGGACCCUGCAUGGCACUGUGCUCCUGUUCUUCAUGGACAGCCUUAUGCAAGGGCUUCCAGGUCUGGAAGAGGCAUCAAGCAAGACAUCACAUGAAACUCACUGACCUUUACAGCUUCUGGACGUGGGACAUCCAAGGCAGCUGUGAUUGGUUUGGGCCUGAUCCAGAGGCUGGAAGGGUGAUGAUUAGCAGUGCUGAAGAGAAGGACCAGGAAGCAUUUUCUGCAGGAAAAUGUCAUUUUCUGGAGCAGAACGUGACAUCUAGAAGAGCCUUCUGUGAGUCAGUUCUUUGGGGAUUCCUGCUCCAUAGCAAUCUCUCCUAAACACUGCC